rnacentral:lncRNA from 1 species
UCAGACUUACCUAAUUCAUGUUAGUUAUUUUCUUUUUUUCUUUGGGGUUUGCAUACCCGUCAAUAAAACUCAUAUUACUCUGUUAGAUGCUCUAUGGUCUUAGUGUGGGAUUUGGGCUAGAGUUUUAUUAUUUGAGUGAUUUUUGGUUUUCCUAUUAAUUGAUUAAGGUAUUGGGCAAUAAUUAUUUCCUCUUUAAUUAUUAAUAAUACUAAUAGGCCUACAUUUUUUUCUCUUAGUGUUUGUGUAAAUGAUUAAACGUUAGAGAAAGGGGUUCGCCUGGCAGGUAGUGUUAGUUGAAUGCCAGUCACGUAUAGGGGGUAGUUUGGGACGUGACGAAGUUGGUAUCAGAGCUUAGGCUUUAAGUCCCGCGUCAUGGAGCAGUGUUUGGUAGAGUCUUGUUCAUGGGUAUGUAGACGUCCAUACUUAUGACCUUGAGACUACUGAACAUCUAGGAUGUUGUCUCUUCUUUCAUUCUUUAUUCGUGCGCUGCGCUGAACCAAGUUAAACAUUGAGAUAAACUUUCGCAGAUGGCUAGGACACACGUAUCCUCCUCUGUCGGACGACACUAGAAGUUUGAAAAUAUGUACAACUAAGAGCUUCCUUGGGUACAUGGGAUUUGCAUCUCUUGUUGUUGAGAUUGGAAAGAUCAUAAAUUUUGGGAUGACUAUUUCUAAAGAAAAACUUUGCCAAAAUUUUUAUUUUUAAAGAAGUUCGAGGGUUAGUCAAAACUUUGGACUAUUGUAAAAUAGUCUAAGGAUUUUUUUUCUUUCUUUUUCCUAAGAUUGAUUUGUUUAAAAUUCGAGGUUGCAGACACAACUCUCUAUUGUGAGUUUGAUCAUGAGAGGAAAGAAUUGAGCGCAAAACUAACAAACGUAAUAGCUUAGCCACGUUUUGGCUAUUGUGAUUGGUAGUAAAAGAUAUUUUGAAAAAGAAAAAAAAGCUUAUAUAGUUCUCAACUUAAUGUCUAAUGAAGUGAUUUGAUAGUAUUAAGAUAUUAUACGUGUGAUUGUGGUGUAAGAAUGCAUAAAUUAAGUGCACUGACUAGAAGUAUAAUAGUGGCACUAAGUGAUGCAAAACCUAUUAAUGGUGAUCGAGAGCUUGUAGAUAAGUGCCAGCUUGGGAGAGAAAAUAAUACUUAAGCAUAUGCUUAAUGCACCAAUAUAGUAAGAGAAUUUUAUGAAACUUGGCACAGUGAUAUGUUUAUCCAUUAAAGUAAGGGUAAGACAUGGAGUAUUGAGAUUGUCAUGCAAAAAAAAAAAUUACUUGACUGUCAUCGAGAAAACUAAUUAGUUCACACAAUUUUGUUAACAUACAUUGUGUUCGCUAAAGCAUAUGUUUGAGUAAGACGAGAAACACGUUAACGAGAUGGCAAUAUAGAUGAGGAUAAAGAGAUGACUUGAGCACUUAGAUGUAUUAUUUGCGGUUUCGACCUAAGUGGAAAAGUCUACUAUUAUUGGCUAUUAAAUAUGUGUGGAUCCGGUUUAGAAUCACCAUAUAUUUAUUGACUGGUUAUAAAUUGGUACGAUUGACCUUGAGGUUAUCUUUGGCUUGGAUUGAAUGACUUAAUGUUAUCCUAAGCUUAGUUUACAUGACAAGACUAUUGGAUGUUUCAUUCCAGUUGAGGAUAGUAGUGAAUAUAAAGGAGUCACUUGGUAUGCUUAUAGGCUAAGCUACCCUAUCAAUAAAAGUUCUAUAUAUAUAGUAAGUGAAAAGUAUGUGUUAUAUCUAAGUAUAACUUGGGGCACCAAGGGUGAGAAACUGAUUAUUAAGUUAGUUUUAUUAGUUAAUGAGUCCUCGAAUGUGUUUUUAGAGAGCCUACCGAGUAUACCAUUUAAUAUGGAGAGAGAUUUGAGUAGCGACGUACUGCAAAACGAAAAAAAAUUGCUAGUCUAUUUUCGUUAUAUGGACUGGCUUUAUGGAGUCAAAGUAACUAAAAUAACAAGAUGCAGGACUUUGUGAUUAAGAAGUCACCAAACCAAGUAUAUCACUUUGAGGUGCUUAGUUCUGUCCAUUGAGAGGAUCAGUAGACUAUACAUAUAUUCAUCAAUAAUAGACAUAUGACUUAUAUUGGCAUAAAGGGGAAAGUAUCGUUUCAUGCUUAGAUGAUUUGUAUCUUCACUUAUAGGUUAUCUUUUAUUUUAAGAUAGAUUUGUGAUUGUGACAUUAUAAGUGGAAGGUAAAUGAGUUGGAUAAUCUGAAGAUAUGGUCUAAGAUCUAUUUUAGUUAGUUUGAACUUCUGAUGACAUCUCUUGGAUACCGAGGUCAUUAGUAAUGUCAUGAACUAGAGGAACCAAGUGUUUAAAUUGUUCCUUAGAAUUCUUAUUAUUAUGUUCAUUAAUGAAAUAUGGAAAUAUUUUCCUACUCGAAUUGAGCAUAUGGAGGGGUUGAGGAGGGUCUUAUAAACAUCAAAUAAUCUUUUUAAAUACCGAGAUCGUAAGUAUAAUCUUUAAUUUUUAUACUGCGAUAUUUUGAAUCAUGUGAUGCUAAGGAUGACAGGUUGAUGGCAUUAUGCUCACUAAGGCACUAGUAUGUGUAAAUUACAAUUUUCUUUAUUUGAAUAGGUAAAGUUCAUCUGUAUGAGAGUCCUAACCUUAUUUGGGGGGUAGUAUUUAGCUCUUAGAGGGGAGUCCUACUUGAUAGUGAAAGGAGAGGGAAUAUUAUGGCUAAAGAGUCCAAUACGUGUACACCCGUGGUGGUUGGUGUAGGGAGAUUUAUACUCGAUGAGAUAUAUCACUUGCAAUAUUCAGUACCUUCGAGAUCUACAUAUAUGCAUUGGGAUCUGAGAAAAAGAGUUAAUGACAACUGAAGGUAAUAUAUGGUAUCAUAAAUAUUAUUUUUCAGAGUAUGAAUUGUUAAUAUACUAAAUAUGGGUGUUAGAGACUCGAGCAAUCAUCACAAAUAUAAUUUUCUCUCGAAGGAAGUGAAAAUAGAUCAUUGUAGACUUUGUAGUUGGUCUACACAUUCAUAGAGAAAGUUGUGAUUAUAGUUAGAUGAUCAUGAUAUGCUCAACGAGAUCGCAUGCUUGAUUUGCUUAUAUAACAUAAUAGCCUAUGUAGCGAUAUGUUUAAGAAAUAAUGUAAUAUGAUGAGAUGCCCAUAUCUUAUCUGUGACAAGAGUAACAAGGCGUCGAAUAUUUAUAUAGUAGUGUGUGAAUGUAUCCCACCACUGCUGUAUGUGAGAGUGUUAUGUGUUCUAGUGUUGUCGUACAUGAGAGACUUAUGUAGGGCUGCUUGGAUGUAUUUUAAAACUGACGUAUGAAAGAACGGUGGAUGUGUUCCAUUAUAGGAAGGUGGUCGGGGCGCUUUUAUGUGUUCUAGUGCAAUGGAGGCAUUAGAGAGUAUGGAUAUCCUGUCCUAAAAUUAGCCAAAUGGAUAUCAUAUAGCGAGUAGUUCAUGAUUAGCUGCUUUUAACCAAGUUUGUACCUAAUAAUAGUUACUAGCUUGUUAUGCAGAUCUUGUUGUUUGAAUUAAAUGAAGUUGGUGUAAUUCUCCAGUUGGUUGGUUCAAACCUAGUAAGUCACAGCUAUUAGGUCCAGAGUUGGUUCUGCAAGCUAUGAAAAUAAAGGGGCCGUGUUCGUAAGAGAACGACUUCAAGCAGCUUAAAGUAAACAAAAUUCCUAUAAAGAUACGGAAAAUAGUGGUAGGGAGAUCAUGAAGAUGAAAAAAAAUACUUAUUUUGAUACCACGAAGGAUUUAUGAGAUUUUUUCCGAAAGACGAUACGUUCAUAAUGAGAGAUAUAAUUCAACCCGAAGAGGUAGAACUUGAUGAGAAUUUGACUUACUAAAACAGGUGUGAUAGUUAUUCUUGAUAGACAAGCGCGGCAGUUAAGGUCGAAAAAGAUUGCUUAAGUGAAAGUAUUGUGCAAUCAGCCUAUAGAGGAAGCAACGGGAGAGUCCAGGCAGACAAGCAGGUAUCUACCUGUAGAUGUUUGAGACUUCAAUUAUACUUUCUAAUUCGUUCGAGGAUGAACUCUUGCUUAAAUGGGAGAAAAUAUAAUAACCUGAUAUCUUAAGAGUAAGCUUUUAAGUUAUGUUGUUAGUGAUAAUUUAUUUAAUUUUCACAAGUAUUAAUAUGCAUGUACAUAUAUAUUUUUUUUAAAUGAGAUUAUCAUUUACAUAGGUGUAAAGUGCGAUGGCUAGCCAAGUGAUAAUUAAUAAUUAUAUAAUAAUAGAGUGGGCUAAGCCCAUCAUUCUAGUUAUGUGCAAGACCUAGAAUAAGUGAACAAUUAACUUUAGAUAACUAAGAGAAAUUCACUACAAUGUAGAGAGCUUUUCGGUAGUGGCAGGGAUUCUCUUGAACCGUUGGUGGCGUGAACUUAGAGUGCUAGAAAGAGUGAAAUAUUCUUGCGCGUUACAACUCAACUGUGAUAGAAAGGUAUAGAUUUAAUUUUAUCACUAUGGCUAUAUUUCUUGAAUUAAUCUAGGAGGGAUAUUAUCACUAAUUCUUUUUCUUAUAGUGACAAAGAUCGAAUUGGAACAGAGUGGCCAUGGAAAACAUUGUAGUAUUUAUUAGGCCUUGGUAAUAUGAGUAGAAUUUUGUAAUGAAAACCUUACUAUUUAAUAAUGGAUAAGAACUAUUUGAGAUUGUCUUUUUGAAGUCAGAACACUUUGCAUAUGAAAUUCGUUUUAGAGUUUUGUAUAUAUUGUUAAAUUAGUUGCAUUACAUAAAUUCAUGUAAUAAGGUUUGAAUUCCUCAACUCACGUAUAGUUACAGGUGCAUUAAUGAGCGUAAAGUUUAGGACGCUUAGAAACCCUUUUAAGCCAGGCAAAUAAGCUUUGAAUGUGUGAAUUAUUAAGGGUUUAGUCGACUGUUUAGCAUAUCAAUUGUUGGAUUUAGUAUAAAAAUUCAUAUUUGACUUAUCAUAGUAUCAAGAUUGGAACUUGAUGAUAGAUUGGACUCUAUGACUUAUGGGUAACUCGAUAAUAUAAUUUGUUCGGGGAUUUAGCCAUAAUCAACGGGGAGUCGACUUUUGAGUUAACUUUAUUUUGAAUGUUUCAAAAGAAUUAUGAGAUCAAUCUGACUAUCAUAAUUGAUAUCGUUAAUCAAUACUUUUGGAUAGAUUGAUGCUGUUGGAGGCAAUUUGAUUGGUGUUCUAGACGUUGCAAGGUUGGAAAACUUUUCAGUGAGACUUUAAGCUUUGAUGCUUGCUUUUCAACCCGUUUUGAAAAUGUGAUUUCUCUGCCUGAUCCAUGUGUUGGGACAAGCAUGCGCUUGGCAGAAUCGGUGGUCUUAGACUAGCCGUAAAUAUAUUAUUUUAUGAAAAAUAUAAAAAUAUUUUAUAAGUAGUUUGAUAUUUUGAUUUGGGUGUGAGCCAUGGUGUUGAGUUUGAUACGGCUGUGCGCCAUAAUGUUGAGUUUGAUACGGCUGUGCGCCAUGAUGUUGAGUUUGAUAUGUCUGUGCGCCAUGAUGUUGAGUUUGAUACGGCUGUGCGCCAUGAUGUUGAAUUUGAUACGGUUGUGCGCCAUGAUGUUGAGUUUGAUAUGGCUGUGCGCCAUGAUGUUAGUUUGAUACGGCUGUGCGCCAUGAUGUUGAGUUUGAUACGGCUGUGCGCCAUGAUGUUGGAGCAUUGUAUAUGCCUUUGUACAUCACCCAAGCAUUGUGUAUGAUUCUUGAUAUAUUUGGGGCAUUGUGCAUGCUUCUGUGAGCAUUGUGUAUGCUCUGUUACAUAUUUGAGGCAUUGUGGUGCCGUUGUGUUGUGUAUGCUCUGUUACAUAUUUGGGGCAUUGUGUAUGUUUAGGUGUGUUGAUAAAUUUCUUUCACUGCAAUUAUAAUAAGUCCUUAGUGGGUAUUCUUGUGGGUUAAUUCUUAAUAACUCAGUUGAUACACAUAUAUUGAGUUAUUGUAUAAUUAUCAUAUUUACUAUAUCAUUCGUGUUGUGGUAUGUUUGUAUUUUCCAACACUUGUUCCAGAGGUAUUUAAAUUAGCCGGUCAAGGUUCUUACUGGGUUAUAUUUAUGUAAAACUCACUCCUUACCUGCAUCUCUAUGCAGAUACCGUUGCGGGAGAUAGAGCUAGUGGCUGACGAGUUUGUUUGAGUGGAUCCUAUUGCUGAAGUGAGUCAUCGCAUUGUUCGUGGAGGCUUUCGAUUCAGACUUACCUAGUUCAUGUUAGUUAUUUUCUUUUUUUCUUUGGGGUUUGCAUACCCGUCAAUAAAACUCAUAUUACUCUGUUAGAUGCUCUAUGGUCUUAAUGUGAGAUUUGUGCUAGAGUUUUAUUAUUUGAGUGAUUGUUGGUNNNNNNNNNNNNNNNNNNNNUUGGUUUUCCUAUCAAUUGACUAAGGUAUUGGGCGAUAAUUAUUUUCUCUUUAAUUAUUAAUAAUACUAUUAGGCCUGCAUCUUUUUCUCUUAGUGUUUGUGUAAAUGGUCAAACGUUAGAGAAAGGGGUUCGCCUGGCAGGUAGUGUUAGUUGGGUGUCAGUCACGUAUAGGGGGUAGUUUGGGACGUGACAAACUAUUUAUGGAAAAGCUUUUUGAAUGAUUUCGUUGUAAACUAUAUUGUAAGUUGAAUGAUCAUCAUCACUAUCUGUUGUGCCUGGUCGAAUUAAUAA